rnacentral:rRNA from 1 species
GCAUAUCAAUAAGGGCGGAGGAA